rnacentral:rRNA from 1 species
GACGAACGCUGGCGGCGUGCUUAACACAUGCAAGUCGAACGAAGUGGCGAACGGGUGAGUAACGCGUAAUCAACCUGCCCUUCAAAGGGGGACAACAGUGGGAAACGACUGCUAAUACCGCAUACUGAAGGUGGGGAUUGCGUCUGAUUAGCUAGUUGGGGGGGUAACGGCCCUCCAAGGCGAUGAUCAGUAGCCGGUUCGGAGGGAGGAACGGCCAACACGGGACCGAGAAACGGCCCAGACUCCUACGGGAGGCAGCCGUGGGGAAUCUUCCGCAAUGGACGAAAGUCUGACGGAGCAACGGCGCGUUAGUGAUGACGGCUUUCGGGUUGUAAAGCUAUGUUAAUCGGGACGCGGUACCGGAAUAGAAAGCAACGGCUAACUACGUGCCAGCAGCCGCGGUAAUUC